rnacentral:rRNA from 1 species
UACGGAGGGUGCGAGCGUUGUCCGGAAUCACUGGGCGUAAAGGGCGCGUAGGCGGCGCGGAUAGUCGGCGGUGAAAGCCCGGAGCUCAACUCCGGGUCGGCCGUCGAUACUUCCGGGCUUGAGCACUGUAGAGGCAGAUGGAAUUCCGGGUGUAGCGGUGGAAUGCGUAGAGAUCCGGAAGAACACCGGUGGCGAAGGCGGUCUGCUGGGCAGUUGCUGACGCUGAUGCGCGAAAGCGUGGGGAGCAAACAGG